rnacentral:rRNA from 1 species
ACUCCUACGGGAGGCAGCAGUAGGGAAUUUUUCCGCAAUGGACGAAAGUCUGACGGAGCAAUGCCGCGUGAGUGUAUGAAGGUUUUCGAAUCGUAAAGCUCUGUUGUAAGGGAAGAAUAGCAAGAAAUAGGAAAUGAUUCUUGUCUGACGGUACCUUACCAGAAAAGCCACGGCUAAACUACGUGCCAGCAGCCGCGGUAAUACGUAGGUGGC